rnacentral:rRNA from 1 species
UACGAAGGGGGCUAGCGUUGUUCGGAAUUACUGGGCGUAAAGCGCACGUAGGCGGAUAUUUAAGUCAGGGGUGAAAUCCCGGGGCUCAACUCCGGAACUGCCAUUGAAACUGUAAGACUUGAGGAUGAGAGAGGUGAGUGGAAUUCCCAGUGUAGAGGUGAAAUUCGUAGAUAUUGGGAAGAACACCGGUGGCGAAGGCGGCUCACUGGCUCAUAUCUGACGCUCAGGCGCGACAGCGUGGGGAUCAAACAGG